UUUCGAAACUUGACCUCAAUCAGGUAGGACUACCCGCUGACUA
rnacentral:rRNA from 1 species